UACGUAGGGGGCAAGCGUUAUCCGGAAUUACUGGGUGUAAAGGGAGCGUAGACGGUAAUGUAAGUCUGGAGUGAAAGGCGGGGGCCCAACCCCCGGACUGCUCUGGAAACUAUGUUACUAGAGUGCAGGAGAGGUAAGCGGAAUUCCUAGUGUAGUGGUGAAAUGCGUAGAUAUUAGGAGGAACACCAGUGGCGAAGGCGGCUUACUGGACUGUAACUGACGUUGAGGCUCGAAAGCGUGGGGAGCAAACAGG
rnacentral:rRNA from 1 species